rnacentral:rRNA from 1 species
UACGAAGGGUGCAAGCGUUGUUCGGAAUCAUUGGGCGUAAAGCGCGCGCAGGCGGAUUAGUAAGUCAGAUGUGAAAUCUCGGAGCUCAACUCCGAAACUGCGUCUGAAACUACUAGUCUAGAAUGUCGGAGGGGGCAGGGGAAUUUCACGUGUAGGGGUAAAAUCCGUAGAGAUGUGAAGGAACACCGGAGGCGAAGGCGCCUGCCUGGACGACUAUUGACGCUGAGGCGCGAAAGCGUGGGGAGCAAACAGG